GACGAACGCUGGCGGCGUGCCUAAUACAUGCAAGUAGAACGCUGAAGGAGGAGCUUGCUUCUCCGGAUGAGUUGCGAACGGGUGAGUAACGCGUAGGUAACCUGCCUGGUAGCGGGGGAUAACUAUUGGAAACGAUAGCUAAUACCGCAUAACAGAAGAUGUUGCAUGACAUUUGCUUAAAAGGUGCAAUUGCAUCACUACCAGAUGGACCUGCGUUGUAUUAGGUAGUUGGUGAGGUAACGGCUCACCAAGGCGACGAUUCAUAGCCGACCUGAGAGGGUGGUCGGCCACCCUGGGACUGAGACACGGCCCAAACUCCUACGGGAGGCAGCAGUAGGGAAUCUUCGGCAAUGGACGGAAGUCUGACCGAGCAACGCCGCGUGAGUGAAGAAGGUUUUCGGAUCGUAAAGCUCUGUUGUAAGGGAAGAACGAGUGUGGGAGUGGAAAGUGCACACUGUGACGGUAUCUUACCAGAAAGGGACGGCUAACUACGUG
rnacentral:rRNA from 1 species